GGUCUCACGUCCAGGAUGCGUCCGCGGAAGAGAAGGACACCGCGCGACGCGCCGGGGGGAGGCGCCUCGGGCUCGGCCCCGGGCCUCCUUGUCACAUGACACAUGAGGAAGCAACAAAAGGAGCUCAGCUCGGUGGUCACUAAUUAAAAAAAUUCCAGAAGACAUUACCUGGGUGAAUGGUCUGUAGUUACCUUUCGGGGCCAUUUCAGAGACAAAUGUAUGCUUGUUUUUACCUUUUAUUUUAAGCAUUUCAAACUUGAAGUGUCUUGCAUUUUUUUUUUCCAAAUGAGUAAAUUCUUCGCUCAGAUAACAUUUCUGUUCCAAAUCUAGGCAAAUAUUUUAAAUAUGCUGUAAAUAUUUAUUUAUAUUUUUUGCCAUUCAAAAACAACUCUGUCUUAAUUUUACACUGUCUUACAGUGCAUAAAGCUGAAGGAUUUAUUCAGCUCUGAUUGUCAUUAAGGAGACGUUGACGUGAUCAAAAAGCAACAUUGAAUUCUUGCGAUCUUAAGUAGUUUAAACACAACUGGCACCUCUGAAAUGGAACUCUAGCAUCUCUUAGCAACCCGAGUCACCCAGCGGUGGGCACGCUGGCGAGGCCGAAAUGGCACAACGUGGUGCAGUCCCGUGCGUGCGGCGUCCGCGGGGCCGGCUGUUUUCACCAGUCCCUCGUCUGUGAGCGUGUGGCGGUGCUCCCUGCUGCGCAGACGCACCUGCAGCGCGCGGCUAACGCCACGGCCGCGCGGAAAGACUGGCGCCCGUCGCCGCGGCGACUCCGAAACAGGUCGCCCGUCCGAACGUCUGGGCUGUGACAUCGCCGGGCCCGACGGUGGGGAGGGGGGGGGGUCGUGUCGGAGAGAGCCCCACCGGGACGGCUAACCGUCCGGACCGCGGAGGGGUCCGCUCCACGCCGGUGCCGAUCGCCUUCCUCCGCUCCCUUGUCCAUGCAUUUCUCUCAGAACCCUAAUUAGUCCAAAGUACACCCCUCCCCUCUCUCUGAACCCCCCCUCCCCUCCCCCACCGAUCUUCCGAAAGGGAACGUGUGGUGAUGUGAUGUUCCGGAACACUAUUCCCGGCUGCGUUCUGUCAGCGGAGCCUCAGUGCCGCCCGCGCUGCCGUCCGCUCUUCCUCCUCCCGUCCGUACGGCGGGAGCCCGUCUCCUCUUCCUCCUCCCGUCUGCACGCUCGCCGGACGGCUGGACGCCCGUCUCCUCUUCCUCCUCCUCCUCCUCCCGCUGAGAGCCUCCCAUCUGUACGGCCGGCGGACGGCAUCUGGCAGCAGGAUGCGACGCCGCUGCCGGAGCUGCCGGUCGCGCCGCUAACGCUACCGGCGCCGCGCAGGAUGCUCGCCGUCCGCUCCCGCGUAAACCGGAACACCUGUGACAGUCUGUCUCAGGGUCCCGCCGACGAGAGUCACCGCCUCACACCGCUACGGAAGAUUCUUUCCCUUCUUUUAAGAGCCUGGCAUCUCGCGGAUUUACAGUCAUUCUUUCCCUGUAAAAUAAGGUUUUACGUUUUUUUUUUAAUCGGGCGACGCGGGGAACGCAGGUGACAGCCGGAGCCGAAGCCGGCGGCCGCCUGGAGGCGAGGGCCGGCGCGUGCGCCCGGCUCGCGCCGGGGUCAGGGAGUUCGCCGCGCUCACCGUGCCCGCGGGCUUUUCCGGAAGCACGCGGCGCCAGGAACGGCCGCGCGGUCGCCGUGGAGACGCGGGGUCCGAGGAAGUCCGGGGUAAUCUUUUUGGGAUCGUGCGCAUGGUGCCACCGAGAAAGGCGAGUGGAACGGGGACGGGAAAGGAGGAUCUGUGACCACAGCCGUGUUUUUUUUCCCUGUGUAUCUGUUCAGGAAUGUAAAUGACAAGUAUUUUCUUUUUUGGGAUGAUUAAAUAAUGAUGCAAUAUGGGACACGCUUCCCACAAAUUAUGGGGCCCGGAAGAAAAAAAAAAACUGCUCCAGAUCUAGAAACAAGCUUCAUGACGAGCCGGCCAACAACAACUUGUGAUAUAUAAAAUUUUUCUUUUUU